rnacentral:rRNA from 1 species
CAGCAGCCGCGGUAAUACGUAGGGUGCGAGCGUUAAUCGGAAUUACUGGGCGUAAAGCGGGCGCAGACGGUUACUUAAGCAGGAUGUGAAAUCCCCAGGCUCAACCUGGGAACUGCGUUCUGAACUGGGUGACUAGAGUGUGUCAGAGGGAGGUAGAAUUCCACGUGUAGCAGUGAAAUGCGUAGAGAUGUGGAGGAAUACCAAUGGCGAAGGCAGCCUCCUGGGAUAACACUGACGUUCAUGUCCGAAAGCGUGGGUAGCAAACAGGAUUAGAUACCCCCGUAGUCCCUGUCUCUUAUAC